rnacentral:rRNA from 1 species
GGGUGCGAUCAUACCAGCACUAAUGCACCAGAUCCCAUCAGAACUCCACAAUUAAGCAUGCUUGGGUGAGAAUGGUUCUAAGAUGGGUUUGUCCUAUGACUUUCAUAGACACAGGCU